rnacentral:rRNA from 1 species
UACGUAGGGGGCAAGCGUUGUCCGGAAUCAUUGGGCGUAAAGAGCGUGUAGGCGGCCAGAAAAGUCCGCUGUGAAAACUCGAGGCUCAACUUCGAGCUGUCGGUGGAAACUUUCUGGCUAGAGUCCGGAAGAGGAGAAUGGAAUUCCUGGUGUAGCGGUGAAAUGCGCAGAUAUCAGGAAGAACACCUAUGGCGAAGGCGGUUCUCUGGGACGGUACUGACGCUGAGACGCGAAAGCGUGGGGAGCGAACAGG